CGCUUGGUGACGCAGUUGGCAGCGUGCUGGGCCCAUAACCCAGAAGUCCCAAGAUCGAAGCUUGGCCGAGCGA
rnacentral:tRNA from 1 species